GGUUAAGGGGGCCCUAAAUGCAGUCGUGUAGGGGAUCACCCGUAAGCUUGCUCCUUGGGUGACGAGCGGCGGACGGGUGAGUAAUGUCUGGGAAACUGCCUGAUGGAGGGGGAUAACUACUGGAAACGGUAGCUAAUACCGCAUAACGUCGCAAGACCAAAGAGGGGGACCUUCGGGCCUCUUGCCAUCGGAUGUGCCCAGAUGGGAUUAGCUAGUAGGUGGGGUAAAGGCUCACCUAGGCGACGAUCCCUAGCUGGUCUGAGAGGAUGACCAGCCACACUGGAACUGAGACACGGUCCAGACUCCUACGGGAGGCAGCAGUGGGGAAUAUUGCACAAUGGGCGCAAGCCUGAUGCAGCCAUGCCGCGUGUGUGAAGAAGGCCUUCGGGUUGUAAUUUGACCGUUUACCCCGGCCAGGAAGGGAGCAGGCUUAAUACGUCUGUUCAUUGACGUUACCCGCAGAAGAAGCACCGGCUAACUCCGUGCCAGCAGCCGCGGUAAUACGGAGGGUGCAAGCGUUAAUCGGAAUGACUGGAGCGUAAAGCGCACGCAGGCGGUCUGUUAAGUUGGAAUGUGAAAAUCCCCCGGGGCUUUAACCCGGGGAACUGCAUUCCAAAACUGACAGGGCUAGAGUUUUCGUAGAAGGGGGGUAGAAUUCCCAGGUGUAGCGGUGAAAUGCGUAGAGAUCUGGAGGAAUACCGGUGGCGAAGGCGGCCCCCUGGACGAAGACUGACGCUCAGGUGCGAAAGCGUGGGGAGCAAACAGGAUUAGAUACCCUGGUAGUCCACGCUGUAAACGAUGUCGAUUUGGAGGUUGUGGUCUUGAACCGUGGCUUCCGGAGCUAACGCGUUAAAUCGACCGCCUGGGGAGUACGGCCGCAAGGUUAAAACUCAAAUGAAUUGACGGGGGCCCGCACAAGCGGUGGAGCAUGUGGUUUAAUUCGAUGCAACGCGAAGAACCUUACCUACUCUUGACAUCCACAGAAUACUGCAGAGAUGCGGGUGUGCCUUCGGGAACUCUGAAAACAGGUGCUGCAUGGCUGUCGUCAGCUCGUGUUGGGAAAUGUUGGGUUAAGUCCCGCAACGAGGCCAACCCCUUAUCCUUUGUUGCCAGCACUUCCGGGGGGGAACUCAAGGGAAGACUGCCCGGUGAUAAACCGGAAGGAAGGGUGGGGAUGAACGUCCAAGUCAACAUGGGCCCUUACGGAGGAGGGGCUACCCACCGUGCUACAAAGGGCCUUUACCAAAAGAAGCGACCUCGCGAGAGCAAGCGGACCUCAUAAAGUACGUCGUAGUCCGGAUUGGAGUCUGCAACUCGACUCCAUGAAGUCGGAAUCGCUAGUAAUCGUAGAUCAGAAUGCUACGGUGAAUACGUUCCCGGGCCUUGUACACACCGCCCGUCACACCAUGGGAGUGGGUUGCAAAAGAAGUAGGAGAGUUACGCUUACGCUGUGCGACUUUUAGUGUCCCGUAUG
rnacentral:rRNA from 1 species